rnacentral:rRNA from 1 species
UACGGAGGGGGCAAGCGUUACUCGGAAUUAUUGGGCGUAAAGGGCGCGUAGGCGGUCGUGCGCGUCGGAGGUGAAAUCCCCGGGCUUAACCCGGGAGCUGCCUCCGAUACGGCAUGGCUUGAGUCCGGGAGAGGGGAGCAGAAUUCCCAGUGUAGCGGUGAAAUGCGUAGAUAUUGGGAGGAAUACCGGUGGCGAAGGCGGCUCCCUGGACCGGUACUGACGCUGAGGCGCGAAAGCGUGGGUAGCAAACAGG